AGUGAACGCUGGCGGUAGGCCUAACACAUGCAAGUCGAACGGCAGCACAGUAAGAGCUUGCUCUUACGGGUGGCGAGUGGCGGACGGGUGAGGAAUACAUCGGAAUCUACUUUUUCGUGGGGGUUCACGUAGGGAAACUUACUCUCAUACCGCAUCCGCCCUACGGUGGUAAGCAGGGGAUCUUCGCACCUUGCGCGAUUGAAUGAGCCGCUGAGGGACUAGCUGGUUGGCGGGGUAAAGACCCACCAAGGCGACGAUCCGUAGCUGGUCGGAGAGGAGGGUCGGCGACACGGGAGCGGGGCCACGGUCCAGACUCCUACGGGAGGCAGCAGUGGGGAAUAUGGGGCAAUGGGCGCAAGCCUGAUCCAGCCAUACCGCGUGGGUGAAGAAGGCGUUCGGGUUGUGAAGCCCUUUUGUUGGGUAAGAAAGGCAUCAGGUUAAGACCACGCGGGUCUGACGGUACCCAAAGAAUAAGCACCGGCUAACUUCGUG
rnacentral:rRNA from 1 species